rnacentral:rRNA from 1 species
AUUGAACGCUGGCGGCAUGCCUUACACAUGCAAGUCGAACGGCAGCACGGGAGCAAUCCUGGUGGCGAGUGGCGAACGGGUGAGUAAUAUAUCGGAACGUGCCCAGUCGUGGGGGAUAACGCAGCGAAAGCUGUGCUAAUACCGCAUACGAUCUAUGGAUGAAAGCGGGGGAUCGCAAGACCUCGCGCGAUUGGAGCGGCCGAUAUCAGAUUAGCUAGUUGGUGGGGUAAAAGCCCACCAAGGCGACGAUCUGUAGCUGGUCUGAGAGGACGACCAGCCACACUGGAACUGAGACACGGUCCAGACUCCUACGGGAGGCAGCAGUGGGGAAUUUUGGACAAUGGGCGCAAGCCUGAUCCAGCAAUGCCGCGUGCAGGAUGAAGGCCUC